GCUUAAAACCGUUGUCAAACAAAUGUAUCCAUAAAUCAGAAAACAUUUUAAACGAGGGUCAAGAUUAGAACCAAAAAACUCCUGUUACAGAAUGUUUAGUUUGUUGCGUUUGUGUUUGUUUUCUAUGGCGAGAUCUAUGUUAAGAAUAUGUAGUGUGUUCGUUUCUGUUCCCAUGACAUUCCACUCCUUCAUACUAAGUGCGUCGUCGCUUUCGUUUAGCCUUCUGCUUGCCAGGUGAUGAUUUGUAGGACGUUGUCACGUUCUCUUUGCAAACUGCUGUCUUCACAGCGCAGAGGCGAUUUUCCAGUGCAGAUUGAAAUGGAGCCAUGAAGAAGGCAUACUUUCUGCAAGAAGUAAAGAGCUGUCAUCGGAAACAACUCUUUGGAUGUCUUUCACUCUGCUUGAUAUGCUGUGUGGAGCUGGUUUGUUGUGAUUGUGUCGAGUUCCCGGUACAAGACCAACCAUCGCCUUCCAUCGUCAUUGCAGGGCCAUAUGUAGACCAUAUGCAAACUACAUGGUGCAGAUGAAAGAAGAGAUUAAUUUUCCCAGUGACAUGGCUGAAAUCCAUGAUGCCAUGGAGUUGCUCCGUAUUGAAGUAGAGAGAGGGAAGAAGACCCAAGAGACGAAGAUAGAGAGAGGCGGAGAAGAGAAAGGGAGAGAAGCAGACAGGAGGACAGAGACAGGUUAAGGCAAGAGAGGAGGGUCGAGGAGGAACGGCGCGGAGAGACAACUGUCCAACCGCGUCAACCCUUACGGCAACCUCCACGUCAACCUCCACGUCGUCCCAAUAAAGAAAUGUUACAACUGUGGAGCCGUAGGCCAUAUUCGGGCUCAAUGCCGAAGACCCAGGCGUCGAGAUAGAAAAGAAUACAAAAGGGACAGUGACGUGGGUGGUAUUCAUUACCACUUUCACGGCACUGUCCAAAAUCUUAAAACUUCUUAAUAAAGAGUGUUUUAAAUGUGAAA